GACGUUGUGAAACGUAACUAGAAUGAACAGACUUGCAGUUGUUGCGAUUGGUGCGCCACUUCGAUCGCUCGAUAUUUCGAUAUUGCGAUUCUCGAAAAUCAAAACGGCGCGUCGUCACGGAUCCCAGAGUCAGGUUUGAGGAUUAUUCCGUCGCGUUCUCGCGAUUAUCACCGUUUAAAAGUAAAUGUAGUGCACCAAAAGUUAAUCGCGAGUGUCUAAAGUGUCAAUCGUUUGUCGUAUAACUCGUUUAACACGCGCGCAAUCGUCGUUAUACGCAAAUACCGAAAUAGCGAAUUUCAGAGAUAUCGUCGUCCAGGAACAUCGGUUUCAACGGUCGGCUUCUGUGCAUUCUCGGAAUCCUCUUUGAAUACUUGAAGCCAAUUUUUUGCCGAAAUAAAUACCACGAAAGCAUAACUGAUGCACGGUUAUUACCAGGUAGCAGAGGAACGCACAACGGGCUCUGUGCUUCGUCCCUUCAUCCAUUUAAAGAAUUCGCUCAUCGCGAAGAGGAUACAAGUAAAAGGAUAGGAUGAGGAGGAAGGGACGCAACAAGCAUGAUUCCUCACGUAAUCAUAAUUAUGCGGAUUAUAUUCAGGUAUGUAUAUAUUUAUAAUAUUUAUAUUUAUAUGUAUAGUGAUGUGUAUGUACGAGUAAGAGAUCAAACUUUGCAUUGUCGCUUAAAUAAAAUGAGAAGCCACGUUAAUAUCCUAAAAACUUAGCAAUAAACUUACGUAAACCGGAGCAGACAGUGUAUUGUGUGUAUAUAUAUGUGUCUAUGAUGGUGCAUAUUUUCGGCAAAUAUAUAAGUUGUUGAAACAAUUAGCCGCUGCGAACUAUCCGUGAGAAAAGCGGAAGAGAGAUACGAAUAUGAUUAUUUUGUUGAAAUAUUGAAGGAUUCGCGAUAUAAAAAUGCAACAAGUUCAUAAUUUACUUUAAAUAUAAAGGAAUUUACUUCAAACAUAAAGUCGUAUUUAAAAAUGCGUUUUAUAACGUAUAUUUUUUUUAUUUUUGUAUUGGACUUUUCAAUUGAAUAUUCGCAUUUAUAAUAAAAAAAACAAAGCAUCAUCGACCUGGAACGUCAUCAUAUAUGGUAUAAAAUGAUAUUGAAUAAAAACAAUUUAUGAGGAAUAUAUAAAUGCGAAUAGCAGUAACGGGAUAAAAUCGAGAGAGAAAAAUAUUUUAUUUUAGUUAAUCGCGUCUUUCCUCGAAAAUAAAUGCCUUAAAAGCGGAGAAAGUUAAAUUAUUAAUUUGCCCAUUUUCUGAUAUUAAAUUUUAAAUUACUAAAGAUUUGUAAGAAAAUCAUUAAAUAUGAGAGGUUUUAUUUAAAGAAUUAUCAUUUUCUUAAUUUCUAAUUUCAUAAUAAAAUGAUAAAAAUUCUUACAUUAGUAAUUGAUGAACAUAAAAUGCAUUCUUCCCAUCGGCUAACAUAAGAAUUAAUCGAGAGCUUUUCUAAAAUCACUGGAUGGUUACGCAGCGGUACAAGUAAACAAAUGCUCGUACAUUAACAUAACUUAAAGUAUAGGAAAAGUCUUGCAGUCGACUAAAUAAAACGAUAAUCGCGAGAAGACGUUAUCGUAAAUUAGACGAUAGUCUCGUUGCUUGAGAUCAAGGACACGAGAGGUGUGUAAAAAAGGAAACGCGAAGGAAUAAUAAUCAAUGCGUGCGCGACGCGCGUACAUAUGUGUGAAACGGCUUGUGUAUACGCAUGUAUAUGUAUGUAUAUGUAUAUGUGUGUGUGUAUGUAUGCGUGUAUCUUGGAAUCCACCCAGGUAAUUGUGGCCAGCAUUCUUUCAUUCGAAUUUUACAUCUUUCUCGCAAGAGAGCUCUUAUAUACACCUGCAGAAAUUGUCAUUGUACGAUAAAAUCGGGUUUUCAUUCGCACUAGGAGACGCGAUAUUAAUAAUAAUUAUAAAAAUUUGACAUAUUUAUUUUAUAAUAUUAAAAUGUAUGGAGUCGAGGCUUGUUGCGAAAUUAUCUUGAUUAAAAAAUUCUCCUAUUAGUAAUUAAAAUAAAAAAUGGUCGGCUAGGAACAAAAAUAAUAUGAGCAUAAUUCGUAUAAUUAAAAUCGUGCUGAAAUUAUCUCUCUUACAAUACUGAUGGAAAUCAAAUGCGUAUAAAAAGCUGUUUUACGAAAUGUGCGUUUUAUCGGAGAUUGAUUUUGCAAUUUGUAUACAAUGAGGUACGACAAGGGCAUACAGGUAACAACGUAUCAUUUAGUCGGGAUCUGCGAAAGCGAAAA